GUCCCACCCCCGAGCUAGCGUCACGGCCUUCACGGAAAUGGAAAUGAUUCUCACCGGGGGAAAAACUAUCCAAGUUCUCUUUGCACGAUUGCUCACCUGGUCUCAGCCCUGCCCACCCGGCCCUGCUUCUGCGCUCCUGCAAUCUGGACCUGUUUGACCCACAUCCUCUCUCCUGAUCCAAUGUCCCGGUUCCGACCCGCCCAGCCCCAGCAACUCUGGCCUCCAAGCAGAUCGCUCAUUGCCCCAGGCCCAGGACUCACUUCCACCAGCUGUGGAUCAUGGCCAGAUAUGAAGAGGAAAUGGAUCUCGUUUUUGGACAAGAUAUACAAAAGAGCCAUUUCACAGGGCCAAAGAAGCAAAGCUAAACCUGAGUUGUGCCAAAAGAACACACAGGUCAACAAAUCCAGGAAGGAUUGAUGCACUUCUAAGCCAAUACAAAGGACUUGAACCUAGUGUGAAGACUCAAGGUUGUGAAGCUUAACAUAUGUUAAGAGAAACUGAAUUGUUUGGAGAAGACACCAUGAAGAUGCCUCAAGACCAAAGGCUGCACGAGAAGAUCAAGAAGGAACUUUGGGUGUGGUUGAUUGAACAUUUAUUUGUAUGUAUACUUUCAUGCCAAAGGGGACUGCCCCCUAACUUGCUUUUUGUCAAUGCGUCUAGCAAUUACUGGUUUUAUUCUUUUCCUCUUAUCCUCAAAUUAUUGUAAUCUUUAAGCUGAUUAUGUUUGCAUGAUCCUUUUUGGGGAAAUUUUUCCCAAUAACGAUCAAAUGGGGAUUGUAAAAAUGGAGAUUUGAACCCCAGACUUCAAUCCCCAGAAGUCCUUGGCAGUUCCCAGAAUUCCCAUGAAUCCCCACCUGGGCCAAAAUCACAAUUUGUAUUUAAACUGAUUGUAAUGCUUACUUCGGUCUCUUCCUGUACUUGGAGAUUGCAAGGAUGUAGUGAGUAGACUAAGUGCUGGGGGUUCUGAAUUUGGCUUUCAGCCAUGGGCAUGUGGUUUAUUAUUUUGUAUCCUUGAUUUUUUUUAAUAUUAUUUUAUUUGGUCAUUUCCAAACAUUAUUCAUUUGAGACAAAGAUCAUUUUCUUUUCCUCCCCCCUCCCCCCCUUAGCCGACGCACAAUUCCUCUGGGUAUCACAUGUUCUUGAUUCGAAUCCAUUUCCAUGUUGUUGGUAUUUGCAUUAGAGUGUUAAUUUAGAGUCUCUCCUCAGACAUGUCCCCUCAACCCCUGUAGUCAAGCAGUUGCUUUUCCUUGGUGUUUUUACUCCCACAGUUUGUCCUCUGCUUGUGGAUAGUGUUUUUUCUCCUAGAUCCCUGCAGAUUGUUUAGGGAUCUCUAUCUUUAGGGAUUAUUUUAGGAUCUCUAGUUUGAUUUCCUUCUGGGGGUUUUUAAUUUGUUUAAUUUCAAGUUUUUUUAUUUGCAUUUCCAAUUCAUUGAUCUCUGCCCUCCCUAGUUUGUUAAUAUAUGCACUCAGGGAUAUGAAUUUUCCUCUGAUUACCGCUUUGGCUGCGUCCCAUAAGGUUUGAAAGGAUGUCUCACCAUUGUCAUUUUCAUCGAUGAAAUUAUUAAUUGUUUCUAUGAUUUGUUCUCUAACUAACUGAUUUUGAAGUAUAUUAUUUAAUUUCCAAAGAAUUUUUUAUUUGGUUCUCCAUGUACCCUUACUGAUCAUAAUUUUUUUUGCCUUAUGAUCUGAAAAGACUACAUUUAUUAUUUUCUGCUUUUCUGCAUUUGUAUGCCAUGUUUCUGUGACCUAGUGUAUGGUCAAUCUUUGUGAAUGUGCCAUGUGGUGCUGAGAAGAAGGUGUAUUCCUUUUUGUCCCUAUUUAUUUUUCUCCAUAUGUCUAUUAACUCUAAUUUUUCUAAGAUUUCAUUCACUUCUUUUACCUCUUUCUUAUUUAUUUUUUGAUUUGAUUUAUCUAAAUUUGAUAGUGGUUGGUUGAAAUCUCCCACUAAUAUGGUUUGUCUAUUUCCUCCUUUAAUUCUCCUAGUUUCUCCAUUAGAAAUUUGGGUGCUAUACUAUUUGGUGCAUACAUAUUGAUUAGUGAUAUUUCCUCAUUAUCUAUAGUCCCUUUUAACAAAAUAUAUUUACCUUCCCUAUCCCUUUUAAUCAGGUCUAUUUUUGCUUUGUCUUUGUCAGAUAUCAUGAUUGCAACUCCUGCCUUCUUUCUAUCAAUUGAGGCCCAAAAGGUCUUACUCCAUCCUUUAAUUCGGACCUUGUGAGUGUUUACCUGCCUCAUGUGUGUUUCUUAAAGACAACAUAUGGUAUGAUUUUGGAUUCUAAUCCAUUCUGCUAUUCAUCUACGUUUUAUGGGUGAGUUCAUCCCAUUCACGUUCAAAGUUAUGAUUGUCACUUGUGGACUCCCUGGCAUUUUGAUAUCCUCCCCUAAUUCUGACCUUUCUUCUUUAGCUAUAACCUUUUAAGCCAGUGAUUUACUUUAAACUUGAUUUCUAAUAAUCUUAAUAAACCUCUAAAAAUAUAAUACUUUUAGUAGAGAAACUAAUUUAAAUGUUAAAGUAGAAACGCAGAAGAAAAACCUGUGAUUUAUCACUUGUUUAUACGAAUGUCAGAUGUGGGGUUUUGGUUUUUAAAAGAUUAAUACAAAAAUGAAUCAUAUGAAAAUAGAUAUUGAGUGAUAAUACAUGUAUAACCCAGUGGAAUUUCUUGUUGUCUCUGGGAGGAGGGAGGGAAAGAGCAUGGAUCAUGUAACCAUGGGAAAAUACCUCAAAAUAAAUAAACAAAAAUUUAAGAGGGAAAAAAAAAAGAAUAGUUGGACUCCCUAGAAGUUACAAUUAAAAAAAAAUUCAGAAACCAUAAUCCAAGAAAUCAUCAAGGAAAUCUGCCCAGAAGUUCUGGAAACAGAAGGUAAAAUAGAAAUUGAAAUAAUCCACUGAUUACUACCUCAAAGAGAUUCAAAGAUGAAAAUGCACAGGAACAUCAUUGUGUAAAAAAUAGACUCGAAUACAGGACUACAAUCCCCAUGAGCCUUUGCUCCACUUCCCCAGAAUGCCUUGUAAUCUCACGUGGGCUGAGAUCGAGGAGGUAUUUAAGCUGAUUCAAAGGCUUUUGAGAGGUCUCUUGGCUCUUUUUGGACUUCCGUUUUGGAGCAGGCGGUCUCUUGCGUGAUGUGAGGUUAUUUUGUCUAGGCCUCUGGCCUAGGCACAUGUUUCUUACUUGUAUAUUCUUUAAUCUUUAUCCUUUAAUAAACCUCUAAAAAAUAUAAUACUCCUUGCAGAGAGAAACUAAUUUCUACCUGCCUCAGUCUCCCCAUCUCCCCUAAAUUUUAAUCUUUACAAUUGCUAAGUUCAUAGCCCCUAGAGUAAGGAAAAAAUAUUAAGAGCAGCAAGAAGAAAAUUGAUUUAAAUACAGAACACAUAAGACUUAGCAUCCACAACUGUGAAAGGAAAUUCUUGGUUCUCUUUGUCUAUUCUGAGUUUGCACUUGUGAAAAGGGAAUCCUUUAUUCUCUUUGCCUAGUUGGAGUUAAAACUUUGGUUAACACUAUCUUAAGCACCCCGCGGUCUUUCUCUCGAUUACCUGGCCCACCUGAUUCAACUAAGAUUGCAAUCACCUGGUGACCUGCCUGCCCAGCAAACCCAGUUCCUUGGAGCAGAUCGCUCGGGACUCAUUUCUAUCAGCUGGUAACAAAACGGGGGUAUUGGCUCCACAUGGACUGGGGCAGGAGGAGGGAUCAUAGCAGGGGAGAGAGAAAGGGAGAGGAGAAGAAACAGAUUUUUCAAACAGAAACUUAAUAGCAAUGGGAUGUUUAAAAGGAUACCUUUUGACUCUUCUGGUAAUUUCAUUGACUUCACCUGCCUGUCAGGGAGCAGACUCAGCCCAAAGAUUCAACUUUAACUUUGAAGGGGCAAAUGGGUGGCCCAGCGAACUGGGAGCCAGGCCCAGAGAUGGGAGGUCUCUAGUUGAAAUCUGGCCUGAGACACUUCAUGGCCGUGUGGCCCGGAGCAGAUUGCUCAGACCCCCAUUGCCUAGCCCUUACCACUCUUCUGCCUUUGGACAAUAGACAUUUAAAUGGAUAAACACACCUAAGGAACUUUAAAGACUAGAGGCUAUAUUCUAAGACAUUUUGGACUCCAAUGGUUUAUAAAAACUCUCUGUAUUUCUAUUGCAUUUUUUGUUAUGGUUUAACUUUGUGAUUUUAAGUUCAUAUAUUACUGGAUUCAAUAUUCUGUUACACUGAAGGUUGAUUGAAUUUAUUUUGAGUGUACUGAGUUUUGAAAUUCUGUUGUUUUUCCCCUAUAACUGUGCUGAACAAAUAUUAUUGUAAUUAAGCCCAUAUGAAAAAAAAAAACAGCCUUUCUAUUUUGACUUUGUAAAUUAUCACAUAGAUGGACUUCAGGACUGGUUAUAAUUGUAUAACAACCUUUGGAAAAUUUAAUAUGCUAAAUAUCUCAAAUGAUUUUAAGGGUUUUUUAAAUAUGAUUUUGUAAUUUUUUUUUAACAAUCUCUGGUUAUUUUUGCCUGCCCCUACCACGAGGUAAGGCCCAUUCUAGUAGCUGAAAUGAAAUACAUUUUAUAACCCCCAACCUUCCCACAUUUCUAAAUAUGUGAAUGGAAAUUGGGGCAGUUAAUCUCAGGGCAUUUGUAUCCUUAUAAGCCUCCAAAAAAGGAGUACCCCUUUAGUUAUACUCUUCAGCUCACUAUUUUACUUCUACCAGAAUGAUAUAUAGAUUUCUUGAUUAUGUUCUUAACCCAAGAUGAGUUUUACUUUGUUUAAAAAUAUUUUUAUUACCAAGGUUGAAAGAUUGCUACAUUUGUAAAAAAAAAAAACAAGAAAAAAAGUGUGACAAAUGUCCAUCAAUUCAUAGGUUUUAAAAAAUGCCAUACAGCAACUUAUAUGAAAUAUGAUAGUGUAUUUGUUUGCUAUUGUAAUUAAUUGGGCUAUUGAGAAUUUUGGGGAUAUUGAUAUCUACAUAUUUGCACUACUGUAUUUUUAAAAAUGAAAAAAUGUUACCUCUCUCAGUUCAUUUGCCUCAUACUCACAGUGAUCAUGGCCAGAUACAAAGAGGAAGUGGAUCUCAUUUUUGGUGAGAAAGCCUUGCAUUUUAUAUUUUCUUAGCUGACACAGAGUGUCAAUGAUUAUAAGCUAUAUUUUUGAAUUUUUAAAGCUCUUUUAUUAUUAUAUUUUUCUUGCAUGUGCAAUAUACUUUUUCAGUUUUUUUAAAUAUUUUUCUCUCCUUUUUAUAUUUGAAGCACAUGUCACCAGCAUUAAGAUUUUCUUUAACCUUUUGAUUUUUCAGUACUACAAGUUUGAAAUACAUUUGUUAAUGCAUGCCCUAAAAAGCUAGAGACUAUAAAAAUGAUGCCACUAAUUAUUUAAAAAUUAUGGGACUUUGCUUAAUGAUUCUGUCUGAUUCCAGGACAAGAUAUACACACAAGAGCCAUUGCACAGAGCCAAAGAAAAGCCAAUCCAGGAUGGAUUGAUGCACUUCUAGGCCAAUACAAAGGUCUUGAACCUAGUGUGAAGACUCGAGGUUACUGUGUUUAACAUGUUGUUAAGACAUAGGCUUUCCUUGUGUCCACACUCACUCUGAAAAUACUCACAGACGAGUAUCCCCAAACUUGGCUCCUACUUGGCUUCUAUAAUCUGGUCCCUUUCUUUUCUGCCUCUCAUAGUGUGGCAACUUUCUGUAGUCCUGGCUACUGACUGGGUAAAUGCAUCAUUGCUUAGAUCAUUUUGAUUGGGCCCUGAUUGAAGGACCUGUUAUAGAUUUAUUUUUCUUUACUUGGAAUUUUUACACAUAAGAUGUUGAUAAUCUAUAUUUUCAUCCAGAAAUUUUUUCUUUUCUUUUGGAUUUUUCUGAUUUUUUUUUAAAUUUCUCUUGCCAAUUGAUUCAUAUACCUCAUACCUCAGCCAUGCAUCCCUAAGUGAUCCUGUUUUUUUAAUCACCCUCUUAAUGGGGGGAAUGUAAAAAAUAUCAUUAUUUAAAUUGCAAAGUUUAAAUUCCUUUUGAGAAGAAUUUUAGGUAAAGAAGAGGCUACCUCUCUGAAUCCAGAACUGAACUGUUGGAGAAACCACCAUGAAGAAGCCUCCAGACCACAAGUGCACAAAAUUGAACUUUGGGUGUGGUUGAUUGAACAUUUAUUUGUAUAUAUACUUUCAUGCCAAAUGGGACUGCCCCCUAACUGACUUUUUGUCAAUGCGUCCAGCAAUUAUUGGUUUUGUUCUUUUUUUUCUCUUAUCCUCAAAUUAUUGUAAUCUUUAAAUUGAUUAUGUUUUUAUGAUCCUUUGGGGAAGGACUGCUUCCCAGAGGAUCAAACAGGGGGAAUGUAAAGUUGAGAUUUAAACUCUGGACUCCAUUCCCCAGGAGUCCUUACUAGCUCCCAGAAUGCCCUCUAAUCUCACUGAAUUCUCACCUGGGACGAGAGCAAAAUUUUAUUUAAAGGGUCUUCCUCGUAGGCGGGGGCUUUUUUGGACUUCUGUUUUGGAGCAGAGGUGUCUCUUCCAUGAUGUGAGAUUAUCUUGUCUAGGCCACUCUGGCCUAGGCACGUGUUUCUUAUCCUGACUUUUCUUUAAUCCUUAAUCUUCAAUAAACCUCUAAAAAAAAUAAUACUCCUUGCAGAGAGAAACUAA